UGUGUUGGUUUGUAUUUAACAAGUCAGACUGCUCCAUGCCUCAAAGAACUUCCAGGCUAGAUUUUAGAUAUGGCACAACAUGGGAGGACAACAAAGAAAAGGAGUCUUAAAGGGAGAGGGGCAGAAGUACAGGCUGUGUUUUAAGUGUCU